CCAGAACAAUGAUGAUAACAUAGUUCAUCAGAAGCACAGUGAUGAACAAGCUUUGUCUUUCGCUUCUAUCUGAUGUAUCUG
ensembl:snoRNA